GGUGAGAGGUCAGUAGAUCGCUGGUCGGCAGGGGCGACAAUGGCGGGGCUCUGGGUGGGGAUGGCGGGGUUGGUGGCGGCCGGACGGCGUGGGCGGCGAUGGCCGCAGCCGCUGAUGCGGAGCGUAUCGCUGUGGAGCCUGAAGCAUGUUGCACUCUACUCAAGACAGCACUUAAUGGUGUCCCGUAGUCUCUGUUCAGCAGGAUAUGAUUCUAAUGAAAAAACUUUUGAUAAAAUUCUUGUUGCUAAUAGAGGAGAAAUUGCAUGUAGGGUUAUUAAAACUUGCAAGAAGAUGGGCAUUAAGACGGUUGCUAUCCACAGUGAUGCUGAUGCUAGUUCUGUUCAUGUGAAAAUGGCGGAUGAGGCUGUCUGUGUUGGCCCAGCUCCCACCAGUAAAAGCUACCUCAACAUGGAUGCCAUCAUGGAAGCCAUUAAGAAAACCAGCGCCCAAGCUGUACAUCCAGGUUAUGGAUUCCUUUCAGAAAACAAAGAAUUUGCCAAAUGUCUGGCAGCAGAAGGUGUCAUUUUCAUUGGACCUGACACGCAUGCUAUUCAAGCCAUGGGUGACAAGAUUGAAAGCAAAUUAUUAGCGAAGAAAGCAAAGGUUAACACAAUCCCUGGGUUUGAUGGAGUAGUCAAGGAUGCAGAUGAAGCUGUCAGAAUUGCAAGGGAAAUUGGCUACCCUGUCAUGAUCAAGGCCUCAGCAGGUGGUGGUGGGAAAGGCAUGCGAAUCGCCUGGGAUGAUGAAGAGACCAGGGAUGGUUUCAGAUUUUCAUCUCAAGAAGCUGCUUCUAGUUUUGGUGAUGAUAGACUACUAAUAGAAAAAUUUAUUGAUAACCCUCGUCACAUAGAAAUCCAGGUUUUAGGUGACAAGCAUGGGAAUGCUGUGUGGCUCAAUGAAAGAGAGUGCUCAAUUCAGCGAAGAAACCAGAAAGUGGUGGAGGAAGCACCAAGCAUUUUUCUGGAUUCAAAAACUCGAAGAGCAAUGGGAGAACAAGCUGUAGCUCUUGCCAAAGCAGUGAAGUAUUCCUCUGCUGGAACCGUGGAAUUCCUUGUGGACUCAAAGAAGAAUUUUUAUUUCUUAGAAAUGAAUACAAGACUCCAGGUUGAGCAUCCCGUCACAGAAUGCAUUACUGGCCUGGACCUAGUCCAAGAAAUGAUCCGUGUUGCCAAGGGUUACCCUCUUAGGCACAAACAAGCUGAUAUUCCCAUCAACGGCUGGGCAGUUGAAUGUCGGGUUUAUGCUGAGGACCCCUACAAGUCUUUUGGUUUACCGUCCAUUGGGAGAUUGUCUCAGUACCAAGAACCAAUACAUCUACCUGGUGUCCGGGUUGACAGCGGCAUCCAACCAGGAAGUGAUAUUAGCAUUUAUUAUGAUCCAAUGAUUUCAAAACUGAUCACAUAUGGUUCUGAUAGAACUGAAGCACUGAAGAGAAUGGAAGAUGCACUGGAUAAUUACAUUAUUCGAGGUGUUACACAUAAUAUCGCAUUACUCCGAGAGGUGAUAAUCAACUCACGCUUUAUAGAGGGAGACAUCAACACUAAAUUUCUUUCUGAUGUUUAUCCUGAUGGCUUUAAAGGACACAAGUUAACAGAGAAUGAGAGAAACCAAUUAUUGGCCAUAGCAUCAUCAUUGUUCGUGGCAUUCCAAUUAAGAGCACAACGUUUUCAAGAACAUGAAACUUCAAGAGUGCCUAUUAUUAAACCACAAAUGGCUAACUGGGAGCUCUCAGUAAAAUUGCAUGAUGAAGUUCAUACUGUCAUAGCAUCAAACAGUGGGCCAACAUUCCAUGUGGAAGUUGAUGGCUCGAAACUAAAUGUGACCAGCACGUGGAACCUGGCUUCACCGUUAUUGUCUGUCAACGUUGAUGGCACUCAGAGGACGAUACAGUGUCUUUCUAGAGAAGCAGGUGGAAACAUGAGCAUUCAGUUUCUUGGUACAGUGUAUCAGGUGCAUGUCUUAACCAAACUGGCUGCAGAACUGAACAAAUUUAUGCUGGAGAAAGUGGCCGAGGACACAAGCAGUAUCCUGCGCUCCCCAAUGCCCGGCAUGGUGGUGGCAGUGUCUGUCAAGCCUGGAGACAUGGUAGCAGAAGGUCAGGAAAUUUGUGUGAUUGAAGCCAUGAAAAUGCAGAACAGUAUGACAGCUGGGAAAACUGGCAAGGUGAAAUCAGUGCAUUGUAAAGCUGGAGACACAGUUGGAGAAGGAGAUCUGCUUGUGGAACUGGAGUGAAUCUGCUUACCUACUUCUUCCUGGUUGAGGACCUAGCUCCCAUUUGUGGCUAUUCUUGAACUUCCGAAAGCCUGAGCGGGCCGGCCGCCAGGGAGUUUGGAAAUCCCCCCUGCGCAGCUCUCACGGAUGCAGUUAGUGAUCAGUCUGCCACGAAGCUGAAGAGCGAGGGGCUCUCCCGGCGGAGCGCGAGGUUACUGAGCAGCAGCAGCUGCGCUUCCAGUGGCUUCUGAAACUCCUGGAAUACAUUUCACACUUUGCUGAGACAACCAGCGAGAGAGGGAACACAAGCAGGGGGAGCAGGAGAGGAAGAAGCAGGCUCCUAGCAGAAGAGCGUGAUGUGGGGCUCGAUCCCAGAAUGCUGGGAUCACGCCCUGAGCCAAAGGCAGACGCUUAACGACUGCGCCACCCAGGUGCCCCAUAGAAUGAAAAGAACCUUCUAUCAGAUUAGUAGAGGCCCCCCCAAAAAAGCCAACAAUAGUACCAACACUUUUAAAUUUGGUUUCCCAAAACAUCCAGUUUAAUAUUACAUGAACAUCUUUAGUAAUCCCUCUUUAAUAAGCUUGAUCUGAAAAUUGCAAAUAGUAAUGUUUUCUUUGCUCUAAAAGUCCACCAAACACACACCGCAUGUUUUUCUUGAGAUUCUUUUAUUACAGAGAGAUAACCCAAAUCAGUUUAAAAAAGUCUUCUUGCUGCUGCAAGUUAUAAUCUAUACAGUAAGGCGGCUAAAGUUGAGCUGUUACAGAGUCUACGUUUUAAAUGUUAUCUUCAGAUCAAAGCAAAGCAAAAAAAAAAAAAA